rnacentral:tRNA from 1 species
GGGCGAUUAGCUCAGUUGGCUAGAGCACGUGCUUUACACGCACGGGGUCACAGGUUCGAGUCCUGUAUCGCCCA